GAUAUUGGGACGGUUGCGAAUUUAUUUUGACACAGAAAAAAUGUCGAGAGUUUAAUCAAACAAUUUCGGAUUGUAUAAGCGUCUGUCUUUACUAUUACAUGUAAAGGCUGUUAAAUAAAGAUCAUACAGUCAGUGUUAGCGUAUAAAGGUUUCGGCUCUAUAUAGAGGUGCCACUCCCGACAAGAGCGUUCAUUUGAAUCUGUUCCCGCCGGGUCCAUACUCUGGUCCAGUAGGGACAGAUUUGCUGAUCACGGCGCACAGCAAUCGGAAGAAACAGGGCAUCCUCUUUUAGUAAGUGAUCAGGUGUGCCAACAAGCGCCCCAUAGCAACCAUUCGUUGGGGUCUACUGUCACCGUCAUAGAUCUGGGCACCAUCGUCUAUCUUUGGACGUUCUGAGAAAUUAUAUCCAAAAUGCUCACGAAAUGAAAAACAAAAUAACAACUACCAUAUAGGUCAUAUUAAGUCAAACAAACUGCGAAUGGAGACUGAAGAUUUUAAACUAUUGUCUAUAGACCUAGCGCAGAUAAUGGACGAUAUUGGAGUGAAUGAAGAAAUGGUUUCUUUGAGACGUCAUUUCAGUCUUCUAAGGGAAAGAUAUAUAUCUGUAUGUUUU